UCUAAUUUCAACUGAAUUUUUCAAUUUUAUACCAUUUGAAAUGGUUUUUAAUAUUCAAUCAAAAGGGAAUUUAUUUUGCAUUUGACAUUCGAUUUCUAAAAUUAGUACUACUUGUUCAAAGAACCGUCAAAUUUAGAAAAAAAGCGUACAGCGAAAUCGUGUAUAUCGAGUAUGGCGUAUAUCGCGGAAUACCUGUAUAGCCACAGGAGGAAGGCGCUGCUUCGCGUUCACAUGAAAAUGUGGUAGUGUGAAAUCAAGUUUGCAAGCGGUAGGACGCGUCGGUGUGUGUUCGUUUUUUCUCUCGUGAAACCAGUACGGAAAAAUUAUUUGGUAAGUACAGUUUUUAAUAAAGGGUUAUAUCAAUCUUUAUCAAACUGAAUUGUAUUGAUAAUUGUGAUAUAAAAUCAAUUUCGUUUUUUUAAAGAAAUCGUAACACACGCACGAACGGAAGUGAGCACGGACCACAACAGAAGCAAUAUUCAAUUGGUUGGAGUGCCGAAAACAGAACAGGAGAGGAAAGAAGGCAGGAACGAUCCGAUCCUCCAACGUGCUACCGCCUGGUAGAGGAGAAGCGGCAGGAAGGUAGGGACGAUCAUCCAGCGCGCUAGCGCAGCAUGUGGGAGCAGCGAGAGGGAGGCAAGCAGGAAGAAUUUUUAACGUGUGGACACAAUUCGACGAAGACAACGCUGGAUGAAAGGAAGAACGAGGAGAGAAGGCAGGCAAGACGGGUACGUGUGUAUCCCGCACCGGUUUUCGGCAGUGUGAAUUGUGUGAGUAUUGAAAAGUGUAUGUGUGAGUAGAGGUAAAGAGGUUAAAUAAAGAGCGAAUGUGUGGAAUGGAAAAAU